CAAAAGCACCCACGAACCCACGCAGUACUCACCAUUAUCUAUAUCGAGAAGAAUAAUAGGGUUCAUAUGUCUCUCUUUGCCUUCGCUUCACAACAAAAUCACCAUCAUCACUGCUCUCACCACAACCAUAAUCAUAAACCCUAAAUCGAUAAUCAACAAAAAAAAGUAUUGAUAUAGCGAAUGCUCUACGUUUCCAGAUUUAGAAAGAGUCAUCGGUUGGGUUAGCUACACAAUCUGCCCAUCCUGGUAAUUUCUUAAACUCAGUGUAGAUUUAUUGCUUUUAUUUCUUAUCCCGCCUUUGAAUUUAUGUUAUACAUGUGAGUGAAUAAGUGAUUAUAAAGUGCUUUUCCCUAAUAAGUGAUUAUUUGUGUCAUGCCAAGAUCUUUUAAUUAUACCUGGAACCAUUUUAAUAGCUUUUUUAAUCUGCUGUGUGAUGUAUUUUCGUGUCAGUAUCCUACAGUCUAGCCAAAUUUCUUGACAGAAAUGAAAUUUUUUUCUUUAGGGCUGCUGUUAGCCUGUUACUAGUUCUUUCUUGGACUCAGUUUGUUUAUGUAGUUCCAGGUGUUGUCUAAUAAGAUGUUUAUUCAGUUAUCAAAGUCUGCGAACUCCGUAAAUUUUCCAAUGAUAACCCCAAAUAAUUAUCAAUUUCUUGUUCAAGUGUUUGAGCUCCUUGUCACUUAAAUCAGGUUUAUGAUCAAAAGAAAAUAAAGAAUCUGACCCCUGAAUUUGUGAAUUAAGCAAAGGAAUCAUGUGUCUUGCAUAUAGUUAAAGUAACUUAGGAAUCGUGGAUACAGUUAUUAUGUUCAUUGUUCUAUCAUGUUUGAUACAAAGUUUGUGGUAGUAUCUCCAAAUAAAAUGAUAUUUUUCAAAAGUGACCAUGGACAUCGUGAUCGUGAGUCAUAUUAUGGAGAUCUUGUUACAAAUACCCUUGUGAAGGUACAAGAUAUAUUUAAUUUAAACAUGUCAUACUUCCAGAUUUUGCUUGAUUAGAAUUAAAGGUAACAUUAAUCAUUCUCUAAGAUUUAGAAUUAUUACGAUUUGGUGUUUUAAUUGUAUAGUGUAAAAUGGAGCAAAACCUCUCGUUCUGCCGACAACUGGUCUGAUCACAUCUGGCCCUCUAAACUCAUCAGGACUUCCGAGGAACGUGUUUGGUCCAUUAGAAUCUUUAGGGUCGAUGAAAUCGCAUAGUGUUGUUGUAGUUCAUAAUCCAACUGUGACUACUCUUAGUGUGGAAUGUGGACGAUGAGUAUUCCUUCAAAAAUAACUUCCGGAAGCCAAUAUUGUGGCAUGUGAUUCUGAUUUUUGUUAUGGGAUUCAUUGCCGGUGGCUUUAUUGUCGGAGUUGCCCACAAUGCUAUAUUGCUUAUUGUUGUAGUAAUUCUUUUUGGCGCGGUUGCGGCAUUGUUCACUUGGAAUAGUUGUCAGGGAAGAAAAGCUAUUGUUGAUUUCAUUUCUAAAUAUCCAGAUGCAGAGCCAAGAACUGCCGAGAAUAGACAGUUUGUGAAGGUUUCCGGGAGGAUAAUAUAGAGGAUGGGAUUCCAAAGCAUCUAAUGCAAAACAUCGCUACUUUACCUGGGGACUUCGUUUGACCGAGAAGGACAAGUCAUUGCUAUCAAGCAACAUAAAUUGGCUAGUUCUCAAGGUGAUGUCGAGUUUUGCUCAACACCGGAAUGUUGUUAUGUUGAUUGGAUUAUGCAUGGAGGAUAAGAGAAGGCUGGUGGUUUAUGAGUACAUAUGUGAUGGAUCAUUUGAUUCACAUUUAUAUGGCGGCAAAGGGAUACAUUAGAAGUCUGCAAGGUAGAAAAUUGUUGUUGGAGCUGCUCGCGGGCUAAGGUCUUCACGAAGAGUGCAGAGUUGGUUGUAUCAUCCACCGCGACAUGAUUUAGCUUAACAGGCGACAAAGGGAUCUAUUAGAAUGGUCUUCAAGGUAGAAAAUUGUUGUUGGAGCUGCUCGCGUAGUAAGAACACGAAGUUGUACAGAAGCCUUAAAAUCACACUGUGCUGCCAUCAUUUGUCUCAUUUGGGAAGAGGACAGACACAUAGUUAUUGUAUGACUCUUCCGUCCGAGAGAGAGAUGUUUAUGCUUGUCAUUUUGUUAGAUAAUUUGACCUACCAUCACUAGUUUUCUUGAUUUACUUCUUACUGUCACUACCAGUUAUUAUUUGUUAAGGAAAUAAAAAGCUUUGGUUUUUAUGCUCCUUAGAUCAGCCUGCACAUUCUUAAUUUUCUCUCUAUUUGAUAUGAUAUAGUUUGGUGAUUAGUUAGUUGUAACUAAAUUGAGGACUUAGAAUUAUGCUCUUCUUCAUCUACACAAUUGCAUCUGUGUUUGGGUUAUAAUAAUAUGAUAAUGAUAGUUAUAUCUAAGAAUAAUUCGAAGAAAACCUUGAACCUAUUUAUCAUACCAAAUAUGCUGAUGGAAAAAAAUCUGUUGAAAAAAAAUACAACUUGUUAGGUCGGUUAAUUGUAUCUGAUUUAAGAAAGCAACUUCUAAAGUCGAGUAUAAAUGACGUUAUUAAGUCAGACGCUUUUUAACAGACCUAAUAGUCUUUUCUUAAGUCAGGUCCAAAUCCGAUUUAAGAAGUAAAAACUUCUUAUGUCGGCAACUCUUAGGUCGGUUUCGGAACCGACUUAAAAAGUCAUUUUUAACCGACUUAACAAGUGUUUUUUCUACUAGUG